GAGCAUUUUAACUUAUAACUUUUAACUUAUAUUAUUUAACUUAUAAUUUAACAUUAUAACUUUUUUUCUCUUAUCCUUACGGAAAAUUGACGCUCAUCAUUCAGCCACUUAGAGAUAACUAUUUUCCAGUCUCUGUCCAUUGAAAUUAUGUCUAUAUGUUUUCUUUAUUAAGCAGAAACUGUUUUGUAAACUGCCCCCUACUAUAUAGGGAACAUUUUGUUUGUUGUUAAAUCCCACUAAAAGGAUGUACCAUGAUUUAGAAUCACUGGCGUACUGUUGGCCUAAGUUUUCAGUAUUACAAAGAGCUGUGCUACACAUCUGUGCAAAUAAAUAUUUGCCUACGUCCCGGAUUGUUUUUCAUUCGAAUCGAUUUCUAGACGCAAGCUAAUGGGACCAAACGCAGAAAAGGAAUGGAAAGAUUGAGAUGGGCCCAAGUGCUCCGACAGAGCACAGCGACUACGGCACAGUGGCGGAGGCUUCAACAGUGGCUAUUGUUAUUACUUCCUUGAUUUACCCUAUGGCUGUCUCCCUUCUCCGCCCCCCCCCCCAUAAUUAUUAUUCAGAGCUUUCCUAAAUGAAGCAGGGCUCUGACUUCACCCGAACAGCAAGAGGUUUCCCAGGUAGGGAGGAUUGACCCGGCCUAGAGGCUCAGUAACCGGAGGAGGAACGGAGAGGGAGGAGGGGAGGUGGAAGGGAAGAGGCAUAGGCAGUCCAGAUCCAGUUUGUGGAUGGAUGUCCUUCCCAGGUGACAUCCAGGGCCGGACCCCGCCCCAUGUCCAUGCGUACGCUUGGCAGGGGGUGGUCGUGACAAUGGCCGUGACGACUGAUGGCCGUCCUUUGAGCUGCUGGCCUUGGGGAUCCCGCAGUCCCCCCCUUCCUCCCUCUCCCUCCCUAACCCCACACCUUCAGACCUCCUCCUCCCCUCCACCCGCGGCUGCCGGAGCCCCCACACUCUGGUUAUACUUCAUGCAGAGUAGUAGAAGAAGAGAGGACGAGACCUCGUCGCUAAAAGCAUCCUCUUCUGGAGCCCCAGCUGUUCCUUCUGCCUCUGCUCCUGUCUUCACAAGGCCGUCUCCCCUCUCAUGGAAUUAGGGACCACUUCUAAUGACCUCAUCUUAACCUGAUGACAUCUCCAAAGACUGUUUCCAAAUAAGGUCACAUUCACAGGUGAGGGAAGGUUAGUACUUGACUACAUCUUUUUUGGAGGACACUUUCUAACCCAUAACAGGCUCUAAUCCUCUCUGAUGGGUUUGCUGUGGCCUUUGGUCUCUACUGUUGUGUUUACAAUUCCAAAGAGAAAGCAGGUCAGUUGAAACAAGUGUAAAUUCUUUAAAUCGGUGGAUUUUGCCCUGGAUAGCUAACCUCGAAGAACUGCCUUUAAGCCUCAUUCUUUUUUUUUUUUUUUAAAUUUUUUUUUCAACGUUUAUUUUAUUUUUGCGACAGAGAGAGACAGAGCAUGAACGGGGGAGGGGCAGAGAGAGAGGGAGACACCGAAUCGGAAACUAAGCCUCAUUCUUGAAGCACAGAUAGGAACUUUCUCUAGACUCUGUCCUGGCUAUGAGGGGAAGUGCUCGCCUCCCUGGGGGGAAGGGAAGUCUCAGGUGUGCUAGUUCAGAAAUGGCAUCAUCUCAUCCUCUCUUCUGGUAGAGCUCCCUCCUCCCCACUUUAUACUGGGGAGCUCUGCUCAUGACUUGGUAUCAGAGUCCUUGCCUCUGUCUUGAAGAAGAUGAAGUGGGAUGGGGGGUAGGUAUGUCCAACGGGCUUUAUACUGCAACCUGAAGGAUUUCUCUUUCUCAUUUUGAGCUUGUAUCACACUACGUCAAAACCUUCUUUUCACCCACACCAACAAUGUGCUGAAUGCUGACUCUCCUCCUGAGGGGGAAAUUUCACUGAAGUCCAUUGCUUGCCUCUGUGUCCUUGUACUCUAACAUGACAGAUGACAGGUGAGACUUAAACAUGGCGAUACUUGGGGGCUCCUGGGUGGCUCAGUUGGGUAAGUGUUUGGUUACUUUGGUAACCAGCUCUUGGUUCCAGCUCAGGUCAUGAUCUCACGGUUCGUGGGAUGGAGCCCCGCAUUGGGCUUCAUGCUCUGCUGGUGGACAUUCAGCUGCUCCAGCUGCUUGGGAUUCUCUCUCCCUCUCUCUCUCUGCCCCUCCCCUGCUCAUGUGCUCUCUCUCUCUCUCUCUCUCUGUCUCCAAGUAAGUGAAUAAACCUAAAAGAAUGAAAAAAAAUAAAAAUGGU
rnacentral:lncRNA from 1 species